UGUUCUGUUUUCCUAAAGUCCAUUUUAACUGUAUAUUUUUAAAACCUCGGCCUUCAUCCAGCCAUGAACAGUUAGAAGGUAGUAAGGAUGCCUUGGCAGUCAGAUUGUUCUUUCUACUCCCCUUAUUCACGUUUCCCCAGUUUAAGAGAGUUAGACUAAGCAAAGUGAUUACUAAAAAUUGAAUUUCCUGGGAGGGUUCAAGACUUAGGAUUUAGAAGCAUGACAGCAGUUUUUAGUAGAAAAAUUUAAAACUUUUCCAUCCUAAAACUUGCAACAUUUACAAAAUGGAUUUGGAGAUUGUUGGAAUAAUACCAUUUUGGAGCAGUCAUCCCCAUAGGAGACCCUGAGCCUGAUGGACCGAGAGUGGUCACUUCUGACUGAGUAUGAACAUAGUUUAGGAAAUCCAGGUGUCUGUGAGUAAAACCACUAGCUCCCCGUGUAAAUUAUUUAUUUAUUUAUUCCAGGGACCGGGACUUUGUACUGUAAGCCUUUUUAUUACAUAAAGUCACAUCACUGCCUCUGAAAGGUAUGUCUGCGACUUUUGACCUCCGGACAAUGAUCCUAGUCAUCAUUGGUAGCGGGAUCCUGGUGGGCAUGUUGGUGCUAACAGGCGUUGUCAUCUGUCUUUAUGUCAAACUGUCCAAGGCACUGAAGGAUGGAAAGGAAUGUGAUCUUGAGGCUAACUCAGCCAACACCAAGGACAAGGUCAUCCUGGCUGAAACUGCUGCUGUUGAAGCUUGCCGCAACAUACAUUUCUGUUAGGAAUGCAAAAUGUAUGCAGAUUAUGAUCCUCUGCCACCUUGUUUUUGUGACAUAAAU